GUGCUCCUUCGGAUCAAGGGAGGGUGGUUGGUUUCGCCCGGGAAGGGGCGUACGGCGCAGGGGAGUCCUCUCUGCAGCAUUCGGCAUCGCGGCGACGACGUUCUCCGCCCGGCUGGGCGCGGCGCAUUUUCGGCUUCUCUGGGCCUUCGGCCCGCACGGUUUGGUCCCUCUCCCCUCCGGCUCCCGGACUAGGCCCUGCCUUUUAAGGCAGUAGCGCUCAUGGGGGAUAACCCCUUUCACUCUCCUGGGUGGUUGAAGUCCCGUUUUUGUUGUUGUUGUUGUUGUUGUUGUUGUUGUUGUUUCUUUCGUGCAUUAUCUUCUUCUUCUCCUGGCUUCUUCCUGGUCCCCUGGUGACAGAUUGGGGCUGUGGGUGGUCUGCCCAGCUGGGUGGGGGAUCGGGACUUGGCCUUGGGGGGGUGGUUUUUUUACGCUGACACAGGGUUCUAUCUUCCUGGCUGUUUAACAUAGCGUUUCUUGAGUUUGGGUGGAUUGGGGUGUUCCUGCCUGCUGCCAAGUGUGUGAGUGUACUGGUUGUUGGCUAACUGGUUUGCAGUCGGUUUGAUUGCAGUGCGAGUCAUGCCCAGGAAGGCUAAAGAAAAGAAGGGUGGGAGACCCAUCAGACCACCCAAGAGACCUGCUGCUCCUCCUCCGUCUUCCUCCGAGGAUGAGGACGAGGAAAUGGGUGUUAUUAGGGCCCUAACAUGGAGGAUGGAGGCGUUGGAAAGGGCCAGGAAUGUUCCAUCGGAUCCAGGGGCUGGCCCAUCUGGCGGCGGGGGCAUUCCGCCCCCCAAGGUCCCUCGCAGGACUCGUGGGGCUGCUAGGAGCCAGUCUCUUUCCAGCAGGUUGGAGGCCCUUGAGAAGGCUGGUGGCCCUGCUGGACCCGACACUCCAUCUGAACCUUCUGGUCCAUCGAUGCCUUCGCCAGAUCUGCUGGGGCAGCCGGCUCCUGCACGACCUCCGGACCCGGUUCCUGCACUGCCUGGACCUGUUUCACCUCAGCCUGUGGCGCCGGCGGAGCAGCCUCUUCGGGAUCCGUCUCUCCCUUUGGCCCCGGGUGAGCCAGCAGCACCGACACCCCCCGGCAGCACCGGCCAGUGGCCUUCUAUACCCUGGCCUGUGCCUGCCAUGGGGGGAUGGGGACCAGCCACAUACUGGUCCCCCUAUGUGCACACUUGGGGUUCAGGGUUCACUCCACCCAUGAUAGGUAACGUGUUGGGCCUCCAGGGCUCGGCCAAACAGAUUUGGGGUGUCAAUAGGCCCUCCGGCGCGCCCAUCAUCUCGUCUGCGAACAACACUACUGCCCCGGUCCCCGCGCCUAGCGGCCCGGGGUUCUAUCCUAUGGGCAUUACCCCCACACCCCAACACGCCCCGUAUGGGAGGAUGGGGCUUCCUUUAGGAGACCACUUGCUCCCUGCCACAAAGGAAAAGAUCUUAAAGGGAGAGUACAUAGACAUCUUUAGCCUGCUGUUCAGGGAACCCGAAGUUAAACAUAAAGGAGAGUCCUGCAAGGAACAUGAGGCUACGAAGCGGAAACCGGUUGAAAAGACAUGGAGCAACUGGCUCUCCAGCUUUACCAUAUACAUGGGGGUAAUUGUGCAGGCGCAGCCGGCUAGGGGCCCCUCCUUGCUGAAAUACAUGGAUAUUAUCCACAGGGCCGUCUCUGAUUUUGCAGGAUCCGCUUGGAUCCGCUAUGACGAAAGUUUUAGGAUGAGAGCGGCCCUUGAUCCAUCUUUGCCCUGGGAUGCCCUGCUACAGGAAUUGUGGCUUGUGAUAAUGUCCCCGGCCCGCCCGGUUGAAGGGGACAGAUCUGAUAGCAGACACUUGUUGUCUAAGCCGCUUGGCUCCGUGUCUACUACUGGGUCAGGCCAUCAGUGGGUUCAAUCCCACUUGGUCUGCUGGGAGUACAACUCAAAUGGUAGGUGCUCCCGGUCGCCCUGCCAUUACAGGCACGCGUGUGGCCUCUGUGGGUCCAAACACCCCAGUUCAGGCUUCUCUCGGACCCAUUCCUCUGGUUCGGGAGGCAAGUUUCAGUUGGGAGGUGGUAGGAAGGGGGCCCCCCUCCACCCGCUGCGGGUAAAGGGGCCCAGCCCCAUCAAGCUUGAGGUGUUGGGCCGCCUGUUGCAGGAUUAUCCCGAUGGAUCGGCGGCUUCCUACUUGUUUUUUGGUUUCCGGGAUGGGUUUCGCAUCCCUUCAUCUUCUAGGCAGGGGUCCAUCACAACACGUAACCUCAAGUCCGUUAUAGGUCAGGAGCAGGUUGUCUUAAGGAAAAUCGCAAAGGAAGUCGCGGCCGGUAGGGUUGCGGGGCCUUUUCAGACCCCUGCCUUCCCAGGGCUGCGCGUUUCACCGCUUGGGGUGGUACCCAAGAAGGUGCCAGGUGAAUUCCGGCUAAUUCACCACCUCUCUUACCCCAAAGGGUCGUCAGUCAAUGACGGCAUCCCCGACACUUUGUGUUCCGUCCGCUACACAUCCUUUGAUGAAGCGGUCCAGGUUGUUCGCAGUAAAGGGGUGGGAGCUCUCUUAGCCAAGUGUGAUAUCGAGUCCGCCUUCCGCCUGCUGCUUGUCCAUCCAGCUGAUUUCGAGCUCUUGGGAUUUGCCUUCGCUGGUCAGUUCUAUUUUGACCGAGCGUUGCCCAUGGGCUGCUCGAUUUCAUGUGCGGCCUUUGAGGCUUUUAGCACUUUUUUAGAAUGGAUAGUGCGGCGGAGGGCGGGGCUUGUGUCAACGGCCCAUUUUUUGGAUGACUUUGUCUUUGUAGGGAGGGGCAAUUCUGGGGAAUGUUGUCACCUGCUGUGCUCCUUCAUGGAGUUAGCAGCGGAACUUGGUGUCCCUCUAGCGCAAGAUAAGACGGAAGGCCCGGCUACCCGGUUGUCUUUCCUAGGCAUUGAGCUUGACUCAGUAGCAGGGUGCUCCAGGUUGCCCCCUGACAAGUUGCAAGCCUUGCUGGCUUUGGUUAGGACCCUAGGGCAGGCCCGCAAGGUUUCCCUGAGGGAACUGCAGGUGGUAGCCGGUCACCUGAAUUUUGCCUGCAGGGUGGUUGCCCCUGGUAGGGCUUUUCUGAGAAGACUCUGCGAUCUCAUGGUAGGCCUUCGGGCCCCGCACCACAGGGUGCGGAUCUCCGAAGGAGUCAGGGCCGAUUUGGCCCUGUGGGAAACCUUUCUUCUCACAUUUAAUGGUACCUCGCUCUGGCGGUCUGAACAUCUUUUAGAAGACGACUUGCAGGUCCAUUCGGAUGUGGCUGGAGGGGCCGGGUUUGGGAUCUAUUUUAGGGGCCGGUGGUGUGCUGCCCCCUGGCCUGCAUUGUGGGUCGAACGAGGGUUAGUUAGGGACAUGACUUUUCUCGAGUUGUUCCCCAUUGUGGUUGCAGUCCACAUCUGGGAGGGGGAGUUUGCCAACUCUUCUGUGAGGUUCUGGUGUGAUAACCAGGCCGUGGUGCACAUUGUCAAUACCCAAACCUCACACUCACAGAGGGUCAUGUGCUUGGUCAGAGCACUGGUGCUCCAAUGCCUGAGGGGGAAUAUAGUCUUUCAGGCCUGCCAUGAUCCGGGGAUAAAAAAUGAGAUCGCUGACGCCUUGUCUCGUUUUCAGGUAGACAGAUUCAGGGCGUUAGCUCCCGAGGCAGCGCGGCUCCCGGACCCCAUGCCAGCAGUCCUGUGGCAGCUUGGCAAUUGGAAGCCCAGCAGGCCAUAGCAGCGUCACUGGCACCUAGUACCAGGGCGAGUUACGCGGCCAAGAUAGAGGCUUUUGCCCAAUUCCGGAAGGCUGAAGGUUUGGCAGAGUCUUGGCCUGCCCCGGUUGGUCACCUGCAGCAGUUUUUAGUCUCACAACACAAAGCGGGGCGAUCUGGGUCUACUUUGGGUGGUUACUUGUCGGCCUUGUCUUUUGAGGCUCAGGUUAGGGGGGUCGGGGAUUCCUCCUCCGAUCCACGUAUCAGGCGUAUGUUGGAGGGAUGGGCCAGGAUGUCUCCGGCGCUGAUUGACAGCAGGCGCCCGAUUAUGCUGGACAUGUUGGCUUCCAUUUUGGGUCGCCUGGACGGCUGUUGCUCCAGCCCUUGGGAAGUUUCCCUCUUUAGGGCAGCGCUUCUGGUUGCCUUUUUUGGCGCAUUUCGCCCCUCUGAGUUGCUGCCACGUAGCAGCUGUUCCCCACGGGAUUGUUGUCUCCAACUUUCUGACUUAACAUUUGAGGCCGGUACGGCUAACCUGUGCCUCCGUCGAUCUAAGACGGAUCAGAGGGGCAAGGGUCACUUGGUCAAGUUAGCAGAGGCUACUGGUUCUGCGCUCUGCCCGGUGGCAGCCCUUAGGCAUUACAUUGGACUGUGUCCCCGGCCUGGGGGAUGCUUGUUUCUUCAUGGGAGCGGCUGCCCAUUGAAGCAAUAUCAGUUUCUGACAGUGAUCAGGAAGGUCCUUAAGGAAGCCAGGAUCCCCACAGCUGGGCUCACCCUUCAUUUCUUCUGGAUAGGGGCUGCCUCUACUGCUUCCGGAUUGGGCAUGACUGAGGAUGCCGUGCGGCGGAUUGGGCGUUGGAGGUCCGUGGCGGUCAGGCGGUAUGUGCGCUGACAGUGGCCAACGUCUCAUGGUUUCUCUUCUGUGUUUCUCCCUGCAGGUGCUGGUGGAGCGGCGGCUCCAGUCCAGGUCCUGGUGUGUGGCCAUUCGCUGGUCUUCUGGGCCUUCAGAUAUUUCUGUUUCCCAUGCCCUUGAUGUCAUCCUGGCAGUUUGAGAAGAAAUGGCAUCACUGCAAAAUGAUGCCACUCAAAAUGAUGAUUUUCAAAGCAUUCUUAAAGAAGCAGGACUGAACACUAUAGAACACCAACCAAAUCAUUCAAAUGAAAUAAGGUCCGGAGAUGGGGUGCAAAAGAUGGGCAGUGUGUGGGAGGAAGAGAUGCAAACUUAGAAUCCUGGCAAGGUGGCUCCUCUGCCUGGGUCCCAGUGAUACCUCUCGGUUGUGCUAGCAUGAGGGGUGGCUGCUGGGGAGGGGCCAAAGGAGACAGGGAAAGAGCUUGAAGUCCUGGAUGGGGCCAAGCACAAGCUCCCAGCCCUAGAGCAGUGCUGUUGCCACUAGCCCAAGUGGUGGCUACACAGGGACGGGCCUUCUCUGUUGCCACCUCCAGACUCUGGAAUGUGCUCUCUGCUGAAAUAAGAGCCUCCCCAUCUCUGACAACGUUAAAGAAGCCUUUCAAGAAACAUUUUUCACCAAAGCCUUUUAACUAGACUUGUGGUUUUAAAUCGUUUUUUAAUGUCUGUUUUAUUUUGUUUUAUGUUUUUGUAAACAAAAUAAACUGUCACUCAAAUGAAACUUGAU